ACGGGUGAGUAACACGUAAGUAAUCUGCCUUUAAGACUGGGAUAACCUUGCCAACGCGGGGCUAAUACCGGAUGUGGUCAGUUAGGCGCAUGCCUGAUUGAUUAAAGGAGUGAUCCACUUAAAGAUGAACUUGCGGCCCAUUAGCUAGUUGGCGGGGUAACGGCCCACCAAGGCUGCGAUGGGUAGCCGGCCUGAGAGGGUGUACGGCCACAUUGGGACUGAGAUACGGCCCAGACUCCUACGGGAGGCAGCAGUAGGGAAUUUUGCGCAAUGGACGAAAGUCUGACGCAGCAACGCCGCGUGAGGGAUGAAGGCCUUCGGGUUGUAAACCUCUGUUGAAUGGGAAAAAAGGGUAGCAAUACUUUGAUGGUACCAUUUGAGGAAGCACCGGCUAACUACGUGCCAGCAGCCGCGGUAAUACGUAGGGUGCAAGCGUUGUUCGGAAUCACUGGGCGUAAAGGGAGCGUAGGCGGGAUCGUAAGUUAGGAGUUUAAUACAUGGGCUUAACCCGUGGCUGGCUUUUAAUACUGCGGUUCUUGAGUAUGGGAGAGGGCGAUGGAAUUCCAGGC
rnacentral:rRNA from 1 species